UGACGAGUGGCGCACGGGUGCGUAACGCGUAUGUAACCUGCCCGCAACUGGGGAAUAGCCCGGGGAAACCCGGAUUAAUGCCCCAUAACACAGCGCUGCCACAUGGCGGUGCUGUUAAAGAUUUAUCGGUUGCGGAUGGACAUGCGUCCAAUUAGCUAGAUGGCGGGGUAACGGCCCACCAUGGCGAUGAUUGGUAGGGGGCCUGAGAGGGUUGUCCCCCACACUGGUACUGAGACACGGACCAGACUCC
rnacentral:rRNA from 1 species